ensembl:lncRNA
GUUCUUCCCUGGCUCUGUAGGGGCCGUGGUGAUGUGCAGCUUGCUUUAUAUGUGCUUACCUGGACUAUGUAUCUUUGGUGAACUUUUUGUAAAAUAUAUUAUUUUGAUGGAUGAUCCCUUUGUCUUAAGGAUAUGUAUGACUGUGUUCGACUUCUAACAAGUAGAAGAGUUCUCAGAGCUUUCUGAGAAUCUGCUUCCUGGGUUAUAAUCCUUGGUUUAACUCAAAUAAAAUCCUCCUCUUUUUCUUCUUAACUUGAUAGUUAACUGAAUGUUCAUCCGCAGUUCUUAUCCCCAAAUUGCCUUCUGCUCUGCUAAGGAGAGAGAUGUGGAAGAGACCUGCUGUCCUGUAACCUGAGCUUGGCCAUUCAUUUAACCUUUCCCGGUACAACCCUCGGUUGCAGUGUCCAGAUGGGCGGCGGGUGAGGUAGACGAUGGCAAUGAAGCCGUGGCAGAAGGGAGAACUCAGUGAUUAUUCUUGGAAGCCUGACUGUAAGGUGGACUGUCAUCUAUGCCUCAACCUUCAAGGAUAUGCUGCAAUUAAAAGAAAAAUAUGAAGAAAACUACCGGGAGAUCUUCAGCUGGA